rnacentral:rRNA from 1 species
ACUGAGUACAGCGGCGGACGGGUGAGUAACGCGUAGGAAUCUACCCAGUAGUGGGGGAUAACUUGGGGAAACUCAAGCUAAUACCGCAUACGCCCUAAGGGGGAAAGCGGGGGAUCUUCGGACCUCGCGCUAUUGGAUGAGCCUGCGUCGGAUUAGCUAGUUGGUGGGGUAAAAGCCUACCAAGGCGACGAUCCGUAGCUGGUCUGAGAGGACGAUCAGCCACACUGGGACUGAGACACGGCCCAGACUCCUACGGGAGGCAGCAGUGGGGAAUAUUUGCUGCAAUGGGGGAAACCCUGACGCAACCAUGCCGCGUGGUGUGAAGAAGGCUCUAGGGUUGUAAAGCACUUUCAGCAGUGAGAAAAAGCCACCGGAUAAUACCCGUUGGUCUUGAUGUUAACUGUAGAAGAAGCACCGGCUAACUCCGUGCCAGCAGCCGCGGUAAUACGGAGGGUGCGAGCGUUAAUCGGAAUUACUGGGCGUAAAGCGCGCGUAGGCGGUCUGUUAAGUCGGAUGUGAAAGCCCCGGGCUUAACCUGGGAACUGCAUUCGAUACUGGCAGACUGGAAUGCGGGAGAGGGAGG